rnacentral:rRNA from 1 species
GCCCCGGCUAACUUCGUGCCAGCAGCCGCGGUAAUACGAGGGGGGCAAGCGUUGUUCGGAUUUAUUGGGCGUAAGGGGUGCGUAGGCGGUUUGGCAAGUCUUGUGUGAAAUCUUUGGGCUCAACCCGUAGUCUGCACAAGAAACUGCCGGGCUUGAGUAUUGGAGAGGUGAGUGGAAUUUCCGGUGUAGCGGUGAAAUGCGUAGAUAUCGGAAGGAACACCUGUGGCGAAAGCGGCUCACUGGACCAUUACUGACGCUGAGGCACGAAAGCUAGGGGAGCAAACAGGAUU